UCUUUCUAUUUAAAAAAAAAAAAGAUUUAAAUUGGGCAUAGGCAAACUCGGCCCUUCAGUUGUUUUGGGACUACAACACCCAUUAUCCCUGACCACUGGUCCUGUUAGCUAGGGAUGAUGGGAGUUGUAGUCCCAAAACAUCUGGAGGGCCGAGUUUGCCUAUGCCUGAUUUAAAUCAAAUCUUACUGACUAGUGAUU